GACAGAGGGUGCAAACGUUGUUCGGAAUUACUGGGCGUAAAGCGCGUGUAGGCGGCCAUCUAAGUCGGGCGUGAAAUCCCACGGCUCAACCGUGGAAGUGCACUCGAAACUGGAUGGCUAGAGUCCUGGAGAGGAAGGUGGAAUGCUUGGUGUAGAGGUGAAAUUCGUAGAUAUUCGCAAGAACACCAGUGGCGAAGGCGGCUCACUGGCCCGGUACUGACGCUGAGGCACGAAAGCGUGGGGAGCAAACAGG
rnacentral:rRNA from 1 species